rnacentral:rRNA from 1 species
AGAGUUUGAUCAUGGCUCAGGAUGAACGCUAGCGGCAGGCUUAACACAUGCAAGUCGAACGGUAACAUGAGUGCUUGCACUUGAUGACGAGUGGCGCACGGGUGCGUAACGCGUAUGCAACUUACCCCAAACUGGAGAAUAGCCUUUAGAAAUGAAGAAUAAUACUCCAUAGUAUUCUGAAGAGGCAUCUCUUUAGUCUUAAAGCUUCGGCGGUUUGGGAUAGGCAUGCGUUCUAUUAGUUAGUUGGUGAGGUAAUGGCUCACCAAGACCACGAUAGAUAGGGGGCCUGAGAGGGUUAUCCCCCACACUGGUACUGAGACACGGACCAGACUCCUACGGGAGGCAGCAGUGAGGAAUAUUGCACAAUGGACGAAAGUCUGAUGCAGCCAUGCCGCGUGCAGGAUGAAUGCCCUAUGGGUUGUAAACUGCUUUUAUAUAGGAAGAAACUUUUCUACGUGUAGAGAACUGACGGUACUAUAAGAAUAAGGACCGGCUAACUCCGUGCCAGCAGCCGCGGUAAUACGGAGGGUCCAAGCGUUAUCCGGAUUUAUUGGGUUUAAAGGGUCCGUAGGCGGGAGAAUAAGUCAGUGGUGAAAGCCUACAGCUCAACUGUAGAACUGCCAUUGAAACUGUUUUUCUUGAAUUUAGAUGAAGUGGGCGGAAUAUAUCAUGUA